UACGGGGGGGGCAAGCGUUGUUCGGAAUUACUGGGCGUAAAGGGCUCGUAGGCGGCCAACUAAGUCAGACGUGAAAUCCCUCGGCUUAACCGGGGAACUGCGUCUGAUACUGGAUGGCUUGAGAUUGGGAGAGGGAUGCGGAAUUCCAGGUGUAGCGGUGAAAUGCGCAGAUAUUGGGAAGAACACCGGUGGCGAAGGCGGCGACCUGGUCCGAUACUGACGCUGAGGCGCGAAAGCGUGGGGAGCAAACAGG
rnacentral:rRNA from 1 species